rnacentral:lncRNA from 1 species
CACAAAUGUAACUCUAAAAUAUAAUUUGGUGGGGCUAAGUUAGGAAAAACUACAAGACCUAUAUGGUAUCAAAACAGUAUGGCUGAAAUCAGAGGAAAGACAAAGGGACUGCUGAUGACCCUGAGAGCUGGAAACUCCCAACUAUCAGGCACCCCUAGAAAGCACAGUGGGCUUUUCUGAGAACAACAGGAGACAAUGGGAGAGGAUUUUGAAAGUUCCACUUUGAGAGUAAUGAGGGCAAAUACAAGUGGCCUAAAGAAUGAUCUGAUGGUCCCAGAGAGUUUUGGGGUCUGGGGUCUAUAAACUCUCAAAAGUGACAGACAAAUCAACCCUUACAUUACAGAGCUUAGCCCUAAGGAGAAACUGCUGGUAUUCUAAGCCACAGAGAGCAGAACAGGGACUAUAAGAGUAAGGAAAAACAAGGUGAAGAUAAAACUGAGAAGAGUAGCAGAGGAGGAGGAUCUAAGAGAGCUGUUGUGAGGAUCAAAUAACAGUAAAUGUGAAAGAAGUUUAUAAAUUGCUGAGUGCAAUAUAAGCACAGCUUCAGGGAUUAAAGCCAGAGACCACAAAUGUAAAGCCAGGCCAAGAGUCAGCCUCAGGAUUAAGGACCCCAAGAGGCUGGGGAGGUCAAAAAUCACCCUGAAGACCCCAUCUGUGGAGAUAGGGUGUGUCUCACAGAGAGGUACACCCACAGUGUUUAUGAGGGUUAGGAAACUCCAACACCUUAUGCAAGGAGAUGCCAGC